CAACCCGACAGGUACGAAACGUCCUGCAUGCCAGAGACAUGUCCUCUCCAAACGUGGUCUGAUCCCACACGGCUGCAUCACACGUGAUUCCAUCAAACCAACAUUAAAACAACAGGAAAUCUGUUUCUCGCUGAGCGACGUCUGACGAACUCAGAGGGUCGGAUCUGUUACAGGUACGGGACCUGACGCACUGCGUUGGCUUCUCUUGUUACCUGAUGUCCCAUCACACACCUGGAGGGGCGGAGUUUCAGCAGGUAAACCCUCAGCUUUUCAUCUGCAGCCUCAGUCAGAGUCAGACGCCGAGGAGGAAACGCUGCAGCUGCAUCUGAAGGUCAGCAGGACGCCGGGGGACGGAUGAUGAACCGUCUCUGGAGUUUUUAGAGCAGUCACAGAAUCAGGACUCCUGAUCAGGUAUCCGUCAGUCCAGAUCACAUGAUGAGCUCCUCCUUCUCUCCUUCAAUCAUCGAACAGCGUUCUUCUUACCUGAGCUUCAGUCUGUCCCCCUCUGCUGGACUCUGUGAGGACCGUGGUGGUGUCUCUCAGCCCUCAGACUCUCUGUCCGGCUCUGUGCCCUUCUUCCUCUACCCCUCUGGGAUGGACCCUGCCGGCCUCGGCCUCUACAAAGGCCCUCUGAGGGGCCCCGGGCUCCUGCCCUACCUGACCCCCUUCCACCACCACGGACACUUCAGCGUCUACGAGUGUCCCUUCGAACCGGCAUUCAUCCAGAAACGAAACGAGCGGGAGCGUCAGCGGGUGAAGUGUGUGAACCAGGGCUACGCCAAACUGAGAGACCACCUGCCGGGGCAGAGCGCCGACAAACGGCUCAGCAAGGUGGAGACGCUCAGAGCUGCCAUCAGGUACAUCAAAUACCUGCAGGGACUGGUGGAGCUGGAGGACGGGAGAAACAGCGGGACAGAGUCCCCCAGCACCACGUCUCCUGGACCGGACUGUGGAGGAGAGUCUGAGGCGUUCACGUGUUAAACACGCUGUCAUCAUGUUGUUACAGGUGACAGUACCACAGUCGGCCACAGGGGGCGCUCAGGAGGUUAAAUCUGAAGAAGCUAACAUCACAUCAGUCCAGAACCACAGACCAGAACAGUCGCACCUCGACAGCAUCAAUCAGCACAAACACACCUGAGAAUCCACAGUAAAGCGACUCAGCCCAGGUGUUUGUCCGUGUGCAGAUCCUCACGUGUUCCCGUCAGCAGGCGGUGCUGACUGGAACCUCAGCUCAGACCACCUGCACACGCGCUUCAGAUCUGACCUGUAAAACCUUUUCUGUCCACAGAGUCUGAAUGAGGACAGAGUUUCCUCCGACAGAUGUUCGUCCCGAUGCUGUCCGACUUUCACCGUAUUAAUCUGAUACGCUCCUAAAAUUUAAAGUGUAAAUGUAAAAAGACACAAUUAAAAAAAACCAGAGGAAAAAGCUCCUGAACCACAGGAACGACCCACAACCACCCAACAAUCCAGCAGCAGCACUCGCUUCCUGCAGGUGGUGCUGUGUGUUGUUACCUGGACGGGGCGACGUCGGCCGGUGCUGCUGCAGUAACCUUCCAGGCCUGAAGGUGGCAGCGCUGCAGGGCAGACAGAGAACGGCUCCCCCUGCUGGACAAACUGCAGACUGAUUAACACAUUUUCAGACUUUUCAAGGACCUGGAGACACAGAUUCAAGGCCUUGAUCUUCAUCACUUUAAACUGAUUUGUAAUGAAAAGUUCC